GAUGAACGCUAGCUACAGGCUUAACACAUGCAAGUCGCGGGGCAGCAUGGGGGUUGCUUGCAACCCCUGAUGGCGACCGGCGCACGGGUGAGUAACGCGUAUCCAACCUGCCCUUCACCACGGGAUAACCCGGCGAAAGUCGGACUAAUACCGUAUGUUGUCCAUUGACGGCAUCCGAUUUGGACGAAAGGCUUGGCAGUGAAAGGAUGGGGAUGCGUCCGAUUAGCUUGACGGCGGGGUAACGGCCCACCGUGGCUACGAUCGGUAGGGGUUCUGAGAGGAAGGUCCCCCACACUGGAACUGAGACACGGUCCAGACUCCUACGGGAGGCAGCAGUGAGGAAUAUUGGUCAAUGGGCGUAAGCCUGAACCAGCCAAGUAGCGUGCAGGAUGACGGCCCUAUGGGUUGUAAACUGCUUUUAUGCGGGGAUAAAGUGGCCCACGUGUGGGCUUUUGCAGGUACCGCAUGAAUAAGGACCGGCUAAUUCCGUG
rnacentral:rRNA from 1 species